rnacentral:rRNA from 1 species
UACGUAGGGUGCGAGCGUUAAUCGGAAUUACUGGGCGUAAAGCGUGCGCAGGCGGUUUUGUAAGUCUGACGUGAAAUCCCCGGGCUCAACCUGGGAAUUGCGUUGGAGACUGCACAGCUAGAGUGUGUCAGAGGGGGGUAGAAUUCCACGUGUAGCAGUGAAAUGCGUAGAGAUGUGGAGGAAUACCGAUGGCGAAGGCAGCCCCCUGGGAUAACACUGACGCUCAUGCACGAAAGCGUGGGGAGCAAACAGG